rnacentral:rRNA from 1 species
ACCAGACUCCUACGGGAGGCAGCAGUGGGGAAUAUUGCACAAUGGGGGAAGCCCUGAUGCAGCGACGCCGCGUGAGCGAAGAAGUAUUUCGGUAUGUAAAGCUCUAUCAGCAGGGAAGAAAAUGACGGUACCUGACUAAGAAGCCCCGGCUAAAUACGUGCCAGCAGCCGCGGUAAUACGUAGGGGGCAAGCGUUAUCCGGAUUUACUGGGUGUAAAGGGAGCGUAGACGGCAGCGCAAGUCUGAAGUGAAAUGCCGGGGCUUAACCCCGGAACUGCUUUGGAAACUGUGCAGCUAGAGUGCAGGAGAGGUAAGUGGAAUUCCUAGUGUAGCGGUGAAAUGCGUAGAUAUUAGGAGGAACACCGGUGGCGAAGGCGGCUUACUGGACCAUAACUGACGUUGAGGCUCGAAAGCGUGGGGAGCGAACAGGAUUAGAUACCCCGGUAA